GUCGAGAAUUUUUCACAAUGGGCGCAAGCCUGAUGGAGCGACGCCGCGUGGGGGAUGAAUGGCUUCGGCCCGUAAACCCCUGUCAUUUGCGAUCAACCGUUAUUAUUUAAAAGAUGAUAACCUGAUAGUAGCGAAAGAGGAAGGGACGGCUAACUCUGUGCCAGCAGCCGCGGUAAUACAGAGGUCCCAAGCGUUGUUCGGAUUCACUGGGCGUAAAGGGUGCGUAGGUGGCGGAGUAAGUCGGAUGUGAAAUCUCCGAGCUCAACUCGGAAAUGGCAUUGGAAACUGCUCUGCUCGAGGGUUGGAGGGGGGACUGGAAUACUUGGUGUAGCAGUGAAAUGCGUAGAUAUCAAGUGGAACACCAGUGGCGAAGGCGAGUCCCUGGACAACUCCUGACACUGAGGCACGAAAGCUAGGGGAGCAAACAGGAUUAGAAACCCCGGUAGUCC
rnacentral:rRNA from 1 species